UCAGACGAUGCGUCAUGCAUAUCAAUAAGCGGAGGAAAAGAAACUAACAAGGAUUCCCCUAGUAACGGCGAGUGAAGCGGGAAGAGCUCAAAUUUGAAAUCUUAAAGGGUUUCCCUUUACGAAUUGUAGUUUAAAGAAGUGUUUUCUGUUGAGGUUUUGGUAAAAGUUCUUUGGAAUAGGACAUCAUAGAGGGUGAGAAUCCCGUAUUUGACCUUUACUUUCAACUUUGUGAUACACUUUCAAAGAGUCGGAUUGUUUGGGAAUGCAGUCCAAAAUGGGUGGUAAAUUUCAUCUAAAGCUAAAUAUUGGCGAGAGACCGAUAGCGAACAAGUACCGUGAGGGAAAGAUGAAAAGAACUUUGAAAAGAGAGUUAAACAGUACGUGAAAUUGUCAAAAGGGAAGCGUUUGACACCAGUGUUGUUUUCUCGAAAAUCAAUUAAAAAGAGUUGGAUUUUGUGUUGUAUUGACCUUAACAGCUUGCUUCACUCUUUUCCAGCUUUUUUUAAUGCACUUUUCGUUUAACAAGUCAACAUCAGUUUCUUUUGUUGUAAAAGGGUCAUUGGAAGGUGGCUUUCUCUUCGGAGAAAGUGUUUAUAGCCUUUGAUCUCUGCAAUCGGAGGGACUGAGGUCUGCAGCGUAGAUCCUUCGGGGCUAAAUGCAUUUGUGCCAAGUUAUAGCAUUUUAUAGACAACUUGUUGACUAUGAUUUGUCUUGUAGCUUACUCGCUUAUGUUAUUUUACCUACGCUUAGGAUGUUGAAUCUGUGCGAGACUAC
rnacentral:rRNA from 1 species